UACAGAGGGGGCAAGCGUUGUUCGGAAUUACUGGGCGUAAAGGGCGCGUAGGCGGCCCGCUAAGUCGAACGUGAAAUCCCCGAGCUCAACUCGGGAACUGCGUCCGAUACUGGUGGGCUUGAAUCCGGGAGAGGGAUGCGGAAUUCCCUGUGUAGCGGUGAAAUGCGUAGAUAUCUGGAGGAACACCGGUGGCGAAGGCGGCAUCCUGGACCGGUAUUGACGCUGAGGCGCGAAAGCUAGGGGAGCAAACGGG
rnacentral:rRNA from 1 species